AUUGAACGCUGGCGGCAGGCUUAACACAUGCAAGUCGAGCGGGGUGAUGGUGCUUGCACUAUCACUUAGCGGCGGACGGGUGAGUAAUGCUUAGGAAUCUGCCUAUUAGUGGGGGACAACAUCUCGAAAGGGAUGCUAAUACCGCAUACGUCCUACGGGAGAAAGCAGGGGAUCACUUGUGACCUUGCGCUACUAGAUGAGUCUAAGUCGGAUUAGCGAGUUGGUGGGGUAAAGGCCUAACAAGGCGACGAUCUGUAGCGGGUCGGAGACGAUGAUCCGCCACACUGGGACUGAGACACGGCCCAGACUCCUACGGGAGGCAGCAGUGGGGAAUAUUGGACAAUGGGGGGAACCCUGAUCCAGCCAUGCCGCGUGUGUGAAGAAGGCCUUAUGGUUGUAAAGCACUUUAAGCGAGGAGGAGGCUCUUUUGGUUAAUACCCAAGAUGAGUGGACGUUACUCGCAGAAUAAGCACCGGCUAACUCUGUGCCAGCAGCCGCCGCAG
rnacentral:rRNA from 1 species